AUAUUAACAGGAGGGAAGAUACUAUGGUCAAGAAAGUUGUCUCCCAAGACAAGACUUAUCCUUUGCACCUGGGAGGUGCUGAGCCAAGAUUUCCCCAAAUGCAGGAAAGUUGACUGCAUACUUUGUGGUAGUGGGAGAUUGUGUUCAUAUGAUCUCCCA
ensembl:snRNA U1 U1 spliceosomal RNA